UGAAUACGAGGCACUAAGGUGCUGAAGUAGUGUAUGUCAUACUUCCAAGAAAAGCUUGCACUAUCGUAAGAUAAAAAUGCCUGUACCAUAACCGACACAGGUGGGUAGGUAGAGUAUACUAAGGGGCGCGAGAUAACUCUCUCUAAGGAACUCGGCAAAAUAACUCCGUAACUUCGGGAGAAGGAGUGCCUUAUUCUAUAAGGUUGCAAUAACAAGAUCCAAGCAACUGUUUAUCAAAAACACAGGUCUCCGCUAAGUCGUAAGACGAUGUAUGGGGGCUGACGCCUGCCCAGUGCCGGAAGGUUAAAGAAGUCGGUUAGCAAUUGCGAAGCUGGUAACUGAAGCCCUGGUGAACGGCGGCCGUAACAAUAACGGUCCUAAGGUAGCGAAAUUCCUUGUCGGGUAAGUUCCGACCCGCACGAAAGGCGUAAUGAUUUGGAUACUGUCUCGGAGAGGGACUCGGUGAAAUAGACUUGUCUGUGAAGAUGCGGACUACCUGCACCAGGACAGAAAGACCCUAUGAAGCUUUACUGUAACUUGAAAUUGAAAUUGGGCUUUAUUCGCGCAGUAUAGGUGGGAGGCGUUGAUUAUAAUCUUGUGGGAUUAUUGGAGCCAUUAGUGAGAUACCACUCUUGUAAUGUUAGAUUUCUAACUUUGAAUCAUGAUCUGGUCAAAGAACAGUUUCAGGCGGGCAGUUUGACUGGGGCGGUCGCCUCCUAAAUGGUAACGGAGGCGUACAAAGGUUUCCUCUGAACGGGUAGAAAUCGUAUCUAGAGUGUAAAGGCAUAAGGAAGCUUGACUGUGAGACCUACAAGUCGAGCAGGGACGAAAGUCGGUCUUAGUGAUCUGACGGUACUGAGUGGAAAGGCCGUCACUCAACGGAUAAAAGUUACUCUAGGAUAACAGGCUGUUCUCCCCCAAGAGUUCACAUCGACGGGGAGGUUUGGCACCUCGAUGUCGGCUCAUCGCAUCCUGGGGCGGUAGUACGUCCCAAGGGUUGGGCUGUUCGCCCAUGAAAGCGGUACGCGAGCUGGGUUCAGAACGUCGUGAGACAGUUCGGUCCAUAUCCGGUGUAGGCGUUAGAAUAUUGAGAGGAGCCUUCUUUAGUACGAGAGGACCGAGAAGGACAUACCUCUGGUGUACCAGUUAUCGUGCCAACGGUAAACGCUGGGUAGCUAUGUAUGGAGUGGAUAACCGCUGAAAGCAUCUAAGUGGGAAGCCCACCUCAAGAUAAGUAUUCUCAUC
rnacentral:rRNA from 1 species